AUCUGAUCCUAGACCCAGUCAGCAGGGAGAAUGCAGGAAGCUACUCCUGUGCUGUGAAAACCAACAAAGAUAUCAGCUCUGCUCCAAAGACUCUCACUGUCCAAAGUAUCACAGGAACAUGGACACCAGCAGCUGCAGGAGUUUCUGCUGCUCUGCUCCUUUUAAUACCUCUCUCUGUCUUCUGGUGUGUUAGAAAAAAGAGGAUUUCUAACCAGCCUUCAAGAACUGAAACAUUCGGCAACAAACAGCAGAUUUUUCCUAAUUUCAUACAUGAAAACGUUCCAGCUGAAUCGGAGGAGCAGGAUGGUCAUCACUAUGUCAGGCUGCAUUUCAGUUUGAAAAACAACACUGACCUCUACUCAACCAUCGAGUUAUCGCCUGCUAAAAUGACAACAACUUCCAGUCACUUUCCAAGAAGUGAAACAUCAGACAAUGAAGAGCAGGUAACGCCUGAUUCCAUAUAUGAAAACCUCCCAGCUCAUUAUAGCGGACUGCAACUACCUAUGACCCACACAAGUGCUUUCUACUCCAGUAUGGACCCACUACCUGCUCACUAAAGUAACUUUGUUACCAUAGUGAUUUAAAGGGCCUUUUUCUCUGAUAGGUUUAGCAACUGAACUAAUUUCAGUAUCACAGCAGGGACACCACAUCUGGUGGAUCUGCCAGUGGUUUUCAUACAUAAAUUACAGAAGAAAUAAAUCUUGAACUUUUCAGUUAUAAAAUGUAUGUUAUUAAAACAUAUGUCACAACUGAAAGAUGACAAAAAACAGCAACUUGUGUUUGAGUGCAGCUGAGUGACUUUUUUAAUGCACCAUGAAAUGUCCAAAAACCACUUGAUGUCUCUAUAUUAACUUUUGCAACCCUCAUAACUUUCCAAAAAAACUGUAUUGACAUUUACUGCAAUAAAAGUGGUUUC
ensembl:lncRNA